rnacentral:rRNA from 1 species
UACGGGGGGGGCAAGCGUUGUUCGGAAUUACUGGGCGUAAAGGGCGCGUAGGCGGCCUGCUAAGUCGGACGUGAAAUCCCUCGGCUCAACCGGGGAACUGCGUCCGAUACUGGCGAGGCUUGAAUCCGGGAGAGGGAUGUGGAAUUCCAGGUGUAGCGGUGAAAUGCGAAGAUAUCAAGAGGAACACCUGAGGUGAAGACGGGUUGCUGGGCCGACACUGACGCUGAGUGCGCGAAAGCCAGGGGAGCAAACGGG